rnacentral:lncRNA from 1 species
CCUCAAGGUGGGAGGAGGGCCUUGAUUAAUGAUCCCUUCCCGAGAAUGGGGUCGGAUUCCUCUCGAAGGGCGCUCUGCUCUCCGCCCCCUCCGUGGGCGCGGCAGGGGCUGCCCCCGAGAUGCCUGGAACCAGGUAUUGGGUGUCGCGGGGGCGGGGCAGGUCCCUGGGUGCAGCCCCAGGGUCCCAGGAGGCGGCCCCUGGCGCGACAAUGGGCCGCUCUGAUUCCCUGGCCGGCGCUUUGUCGGCGGGAGGGGCCGCAGGCUCCGCAGCUGUCGCAUUUUCCCACGAGGGGGGGAGCUGUGUGGCCACCCCUCCCGCCUCCGCCUCCCGGGCCCCUUCCAAGAUUAUGUUUGAACAGCGGGACGAUCCCGUGGCUGGUUAGGGGUCCCAGCCCUACAGGCUCCCCAGCCUGCGCUGCUCCCAGCCCGGCGUGACUGCCUGCCAGAACGGUGGGAGGUGUGAAGUGCACAACGACACAGAGGCCUGCGUGUGAGUAGCCCCUGUGGGGACCUGUUGCUUUUGUUGGGAACGAGCCCCUGCCUUCUGGGGACUGAACACUGGGCCAUUGUCUUCUGGUGGCAGCCCAUGGCUGGGUGAGGUCACGUGCUAACUUUUAUUGGACAAAGUCUGGCAAUUACUUAAUCACCAGCAAUUAUGCUGCGUGUGGAUCCACUCUGGCCGCUGGAGGCUGGCGCACCCCAUGGGCGCCUUGGGCUCUCACGGCAGCACUAGGAGGGAAUCCCUGGUGCCCUGUUUCUUCUCUAAGUCCCUGAGAAACUGUUGACUUUGCAUGGGGGGGUUCCUGAAGCAUUUACAGAGAGGCCCAACCCGCCACCCAGUCACCUGGCGCCUCUUCUCAGGGCAGGUAGGCUUCUUGCUGCUCGAGAGGAAAUUGGCUGCUUUGAACCAAGCCCACCCUGGCUUUGAACCAAGCCCACCCGGGUCACAGUGAGCCUGGAGAAGUUGAACUGUUCUUGCUGGCGCCACCUGCCUGGGUGGUAGGGUAUGGGUGUCCUGGGUCUGGUUCCUGUCCUGGCAGCCUUAAAGCCGCACCUCCUGACUGCCAGGUCCUCCGCUGUGAAAUGGGCAGGAUGGG